CAGUUAUCACAGUGCUGAUGCUGUGUGCUCCAAAGGUACAGUACUGUGAUAACUGAA
rnacentral:pre_miRNA from 1 species